UCACUUGAUAAUGAGGGGAGAUAAGUAACUCACAGAAGAUGAAUUGAGGAAAAUUAGAGGAAAGGCUGAAAAGGAAGGUUGCUAUAGCAACGACAGAACUCACCUUUUCCCCAUAAUGACAGUGAAGGUCAGAAUGGGCCUUGGGUCCCAGUUGGUACCAUUGAAAUGGAAGAAAUCAGGUAUAAGAAGCAUGCUGUGAUAUUGAGUCAAUUGGUUGCCCAAUCACAGACAUCUGUCACCGGCAGAGUAACAGCAAUGCUCAUUUUCAAAUCAUAUGAGAAGGCCUUGCUAACUGAUGGUCGAUGCUCACAGGUGUGUGGGCUUUGAGCAGUCACUACACCUUCCCUCUUCAGGCAUGAUGAGAGGAUUCCUGCAGCGUUUUGCAAGAGAGAUGAAGUUUCAUCAUGUUGUCCAGGCUGAUAUCCAACUCCUAGGCUCAAGUGAUCCUCCUACCUUGGCCUCUCAAAGUGCUGGGAUUACAGACAUAAGACACUGCACCUGAACUCUGAUUCAUUUUAACUCAUAAAACUUUGAAUAUGCAA